rnacentral:rRNA from 2 species
CAUGCAAGUCGAACGGUAGCACAGAGAGCUUGCUCUCGGGUGACGAGUGGCGGACGGGUGAGUAAUGUCUGGGAAACUGCCUGAUGGAGGGGGAUAACUACUGGAAACGGUAGCUAAUACCGCAUAACGUCGCAAGACCAAAGAGGGGGACCUUCGGGCCUCUUGCCAUCAGAUGUGCCCAGAUGGGAUUAGCUAGUAGGUGGGGUAACGGCUCACCUAGGCGACGAUCCCUAGCUGGUCUGAGAGGAUGACCAGCCACACUGGAACUGAGACACGGUCCAGACUCCUACGGGAGGCAGCAGUGGGGAAUAUUGCACAAUGGGCGCAAGCCUGAUGCAGCCAUGCCGCGUGUAUGAAGAAGGCCUUCGGGUUGUAAAGUACUUUCAGCGGGGAGGAAGGUGUUGUGGUUAAUAACCGCAGCAAUUGACGUUACCCGCAGAAGAAGCACCGGCUAACUCCGUGCCAGCAGCCGCGGUAAUACGGAGGGUGCAAGCGUUAAUCGGAAUUACUGGGCGUAAAGCGCACGCAGGCGGUCUGUCAAGUCGGAUGUGAAAUCCCCGGGCUCAACCUGGGAACUGCAUUCGAAACUGGCAGG